rnacentral:rRNA from 1 species
CUACGUAGGGUGCAAGCGUUAAUCGGAAUUACUGGGCGUAAAGCGUGCGCAGGCGGUUUUGUAAGACAGAGGUGAAAUCCCCGGGCUCAACCUGGGAACUGCCUUUGUGUCUGCCAGGCUAGAGUACCGCAGAGGGGGAUGGAAUUCCGCGUGGAGCGGUGAAAUGCGUAGAUAUGCGGAGGAACGCCGAUGGCGAAGGCAAUCCCCUGGGCCUGUACUGACGCUCAUGCACGAAAGCGUGGGGAGCAAACAGGAUUAGAUACCCUGGUAGUCCACGCCCUAAACGAUGUCAACUGGUUGUUGGGUCUUCAUUGACUCAGUAACGAAGCUAACGCGUGAAGUUGACCGCCUGGGGAGUACGGCCGCAAGGUUGAAACUCAAAUGAAUUGGCGGGG